rnacentral:rRNA from 1 species
AACGCGAAGAACCUUACCUGGAUUUGACAUCCUCUGACAUCCGUAGAGAUACGGCUUUUGUAGCAAUACAACAGAGAGACAGGUGCUGCAUGGCUGUCGUCAGCUCGUGUGGUGACAUGUUGGGUUAAGUCCCGCAACGAGCGCAACCCCUAUCCUUAGUUGCCAGCAUUUAGUUGGGCUCUCUAGGGAGACUGCCGUGGUGAACACGGAGGAAGGUGGGGAUGACGUCAAGUCCUCAUGGCCUUUAUAUCCAGGGCGACACACGUGAUACAAUGGACGGUACAGAGGGAAGCCAAUGCGCGAGCAGGAGCCAAUCUCAAAAAGCCGUUCUCAGUUCGGAUUGGAGUCUGCAACUCGACUCCAUGAAGUUGGAAUCGCUAGUAAUCGCGGAUCAGCACGCCGCGGUGAAUACGUUCCCGGGCCUUGUACACACCGCAUAC